ACAGCAACUGCCUCAAUUCUGUUGUUUCUUCCCUAUAACAGAUGGCCCCUCUGCAGAGCCCAUGGCCAUCUCUCUUCACCCUCACUUGCUGUGCUGUGUUCUUUAGUCAUGUUGGAGGUGUUCACCUGAAGGAGCCCAAAUACCCGGGUGAGAAUGCAGGGUUCCACGAGGUGAUACAGUACCAGAAAGCCCUUGAAGAAUAUCUACAUGAAGUCUUUCACGAAUGCGUCAGGCAGAUUAUAGUCAACAAAUAUUCCCCCAUAAGAAAAACCUGCAAGAAUGAUGACUGUAGAGAGGUGAACAAAUUAUUUGUGGGCUGAAUUCUUCAUGGCUUUCCUGCAUCUCUGCAUCUUCCCACUGAAACCGCUGCAAAUUCUUCGGUGAAGGAAGUCAUACAGACUAUUUUGCAUAUCCUUGUUACUGCUCGGUAAAGACUAUGACCAAUAAAUCACAUCUAGAUGAAUCUUGGAACCCAUCUCAUUCCUUCUUUUAUCAUAGGAGAGCUGAAACUGGAGGUGGAGAGAGAACCUGAGGUGGUCCAUUUGAAAAUUUCUUCUUCAGAAGAUUGAACCAAGAAGUGGUGCCUCUGCCUAACCCAUUUUUAAUAGUUUCUCUGCUGGUGGAGGAAUUCGGGCACUUUAUCUGAUGAAAUAAAGUAUUCAUCAUAUUUG